rnacentral:tRNA from 1 species
GGGCAAUUAGCUCAGUUGGUAGAGCGUUCGCUUUGCAUUUACUCCCGCUUGCGAAAGGUCGUGAUUUCGAUUAUCACAUUGUCCA